GACUGCAUUCUUCCGUAAUCGGCAGUCUCGCAUAAUGUAGCCUAUACAUAAAUAUAAUAUGUAAACUUUCACGCGAGCUCGACUUCCAACAGACUACGUCAGCUAGACAAAGUGUGAGAAUGGCGAUGAAAAAAGGGCGGCGAUAUUCAUCGUCCAGCGAAUGAUUGGUAAAUAUCGGAUGUCGAAUUGUUGUAACUCUCGAUAGUGAGAUUUACUCGUAACAACGACAUCGACGACACUUCACCAGGCGCAUAAACGUCGCAUUCGCAUUUAUAAAAGCGCGGCGAGAUGAAAAAAACACUAAACUCUCCAACGACGCGGAUCUCCUCGUCGCCGUCGUAAGAUUGAUAAUUUGAAAAACAGAAAACAAAAAAACAACUUUCGAGCGGCAAUUUUUCGCUACAAAAUAAAGCUUAAAUACCAAAGUAUUUUCGGAAGAUGGCCGAUCAAACGCCAAUUUUAUACGUAGGUAGUUCCGUAGACGUGUUGAAAAUCGACAAAAACAGUCCAACGGAUGCGAAGAAUCAAUAAGCGAGUACGAAUACGUACGUACGUGUAUAUUUUUUAAAUAAGAAAUAAAAAUACAACGCUCUCGACAAAAUUAAUUCGGUGUUAUAACCUUACUUAGUAUUACGUAGGUACCGUGGUUUUUUUCCCCCUCAGCUCUCGUAUCAUUCACCCUCGAGAUGAGGCACGGCGUCGGGCGUCGGGCGUCGGGCGUAUGAUUUCCAACAACUGAAAUGCGCAACUGGAAGCGAAAGCAAAAUUCGUUCCGUUUAUCGGUUU